AUUUAAUCCAUAUAGAUAGAUAGACAGAUACAGUAUGAGAAGUUUCUAAAACAGAUUUCGUGUCAAACUUCUUCUUGUGACUCACCGGGUUUCUUCUAAUGAAAAAGUCUUGUUCUGAAAACGACGCCGUUUAUCUUACAACGGAGGUUCUCUGCAUCACAAAGUCCAGCUUUAUCAUUCAAGUGUAUGAAUGAAAAUUAUGACAUUGGGGUCACAAGGCCAGUUCGUUUCCAUAUUUCGGGGUACUGCAUAAAGAGAAGCAUGUUUUAUUGCAUUCUUGACAAAUGUUGU